ACAAUGUGUUUGCUCGACUGUUUUAUUGUGAGCCCUGUAUGUGUUUAGCUUGGUUUCUUGAUGGCUAGCUCGCUAGCGCGUGGGGGUUUAGUGUAGCAGUCUUGCUACCGAAGCUGCAGGGGGAGCUAUGUCGUGAAAAAUGCGAGCCCAAAUCAGGCGAAAACCCAGAAACAGCGAAGGAAUAACCAGACCUGCAUAGGGCUUCUUUAAGGCACAGUCUGUCAUUCGUGAAGUCUGCAAUUCCACACUCCUCAUGGUCCUUUAGCUGUCAUCUUUCGUGAGAUGGCUGAGGGCUUCGUACCUUGAGAGCGGACACGUGGAUGGCCUGGACGUCACCUCCGUACUCCUCGCAGACGAUGUCAUGGGCCAGCAGCUGCUCCUUGACCCGCUUGGGGUCCGCCUGAGGCUUAUCGCACUUGUUCACCGCCAGGAUGAUGGGCACUGGGGACGCCAGAGGCGACAUCGCACACUCACCAAAAAGUUGCAGUCACGCACCUUUGGAUUUUUUGGCCAGCUGUAUGGACUCGAUGGUCUGGUUCAUGACCCCGUCGUCCGCAGCAACCACCAGGAU